rnacentral:rRNA from 1 species
CCCUUAGAUGUCCUGGGCCGCACGCGCGCUACACUGAUGCAUUCAACGAGUUCUACCUUGGCCGAGAGGCCUGGGCAAUCUUUUGAACCUGCAUCGUGAUAGGGAUAGAUUAUUGCAAUUAUUAAUCUUGAACGAGGAAUUCCUAGUAAACGCAGAUCAUCAAUCUGCAUUGAUUACAUCCCUGCCCUUUGUACACACCGCCCGUCGCACCUACCGAUUGAAUGGUCCGGUGAAGCCUCGGGAUUGUGGCGAGUUCCCUUUAUUGGGAGUUUGUCGCGAGAACUUGUCUAAACCUUAUCAUUUAGAGGAAGGUGAAGUCGUAACA